rnacentral:lncRNA from 1 species
UGGUGGGAUCAUGAUAUCAAAUAUCCUCUUAUGGUGUGCUGCAUAUCAUUUUGUUGUAUAGUCAUUCAGACCGCAUAUCUGCUUAUGGUAUGUUGUGUAUCAUUUUGUAGCAAAAUCAUCUAGGUUUGCAUAUCUACUUGCAGUGUCAUGUAUCAUCUGUGAUAGAGAUCUUCAUAACUACAUAUCUGCUUAUGGUAUGUUGUAUAUCAUCUUUCAG